UACAGGGGGUGCAAACGUUGCUCGGAAUCAUUGGGCGUAAAGCGCACGUAGGCGGUUCGUUAUGUCGGAUGUGAAAGCCCUUGGCUUAACCGAGGAAGUGCAUCCGAAACUGGCGAGCUAGAGUACGGAAGAGGAUCGCGGAAUUCCCGGUGUAGAGGUGAAAUUCGUAGAUAUCGGGAGGAACACCGGUGGCGAAGGCGGCGAUCUGGGUCGAUACUGACGCUGAGGUGCGAAAGCGUGGGGAGCAAACAGG
rnacentral:rRNA from 1 species